UAGGGAAUCUUCGGCAAUGGGGGCAACCCUGACCGAGCAACGCCGCGUGAGUGAAGAAGGUUUUCGGAUCGUAAAGCUCUGUUGUAAGAGAAGAACGUGUGUGAGAGUGGAAAGUUCACACAGUGACGGUAACUUACCAGAAAGGGACGGCUAACUACGUGCCAGCAGCCGCGGUAAUACGUAGGUCCCGAGCGUUGUCCGGAUUUAUUGGGCGUAAAGCGAGCGCAGGCGGUUUAAUAAGUCUGAAGUUAAAGGCAGUGGCUUAACCAUUGUUCGCUUUGGAAACUGUUAGACUUGAGUGCAGAAGGGGAGAGUGGAAUUCCAUGUGUAGCGGUGAAAUGCGUGGAUAUAUGGAGGAACACCGGUGGCGAAAGCGGCUCUCUGGUCUGUAACUGACGCUGAGGCUCGAAAGCGUGGGGGGCAAACAGG
rnacentral:rRNA from 1 species